GGUUGCGAUCAUACCAGCACUAAUGCACCGGAUCCCCUCAGAACUCCGCAGUUAAGCGUGCUUGGGCGAGAGUAAUACUAGGAUGGGUGACCUCCUGGGAAGUCCUCGUGUUGCAACCC
rnacentral:rRNA from 1 species